AAUUUUCAGAAAUUUCCUCCCAAACACAACCAGAAAUUAAUCUCGAUAGGUCUGGAAUAAGGUUAGGGUUAGGGAACGAAAUUGAGUGGUGCAACUUCGAAUCAUUCUGCAAAUCUCGUCGUAACAGAUCCGGUCGUCACAUAGUAUCCAAAUUCUGGUGCGUCUGCCUAUAUCACUAAUUCUGGUAAUACUUUAUUUUCUUC
rnacentral:lncRNA from 1 species